rnacentral:misc_RNA from 1 species
GAUGAAGAACGUAGCGAAAUGCGAUAAGUAAUGUGAAUUGCAGAAUUCAGUGAAUCAUCGAAUCUUUGAACGCACCUUGCGCCUUUUGGUAUUCCGAAAGGCACACCUGUUUGAGCGUCAUGAAUACCUCAAUCUCCAUCUUUUCUUCGGAUUGAUGGGUGACUUGGAUGUUGAGCCCUGCUGGUAUGCUAUAUCAGCUGGCUUUAAACUUAUUAGCCGGCUCUGUACUGGAUCGGUUUGACUCGACGUGAUAAUAUUAUCGUUGAGGAUGCAUGUCUCAUGCAGCCGGAAAGUAUCAAAGCAGCUUCUAGCUGGCCUUUAGUGCACUUUUACAUUUUAGACCUCAGAUCAGGUGGGACUACCCGCUGAACUUAAGCAUAUCAAUAAGCGGAGGA